rnacentral:rRNA from 1 species
UACGUAGGUGGCAAGCGUUGUCCGGAUUUACUGGGCGUAAAGGAUGCGUAGGCGGCCAUUUAAGUCAGAUGUGAAAUACCCGAGCUUAACUUGGGUGCUGCAUUUGAAACUGGGUGUCUAGAGUGCAGGAGAGGUAAGUGGAAUUCCUAGUGUAGCGGUGAAAUGCGUAGAGAUUAGGAAGAACACCAGUGGCGAAGGCGACUUACUGGACUGUAACUGACGCUGAGGCAUGAAGGCGUGGGGAGCAAACAGG